AUGACUGCAGAUCUGGCUGUCAUCUGGACAGCAGCCUGAGCGACAGCCUGGGCCACAGGGCCCACGGAGUGGUGGCCAGGCUCCUGAGCCACAGACACGGUGAGUCCUGAAGGCUAAGGACUGAAUCCGGUCCCUCUCAAAUCUGCAUGUUGAAGGCCUACCCUGCACUGUGGUUAUAUUUGGAGAUGUAGCCUUUAGGGAGGUAAUUGAGAUUAAAACUGAGGUCCAAGGGGGAGCCUGAUCUGCUAGGACUGGUGCCCUUGCCAGAGGAGCGAGACGGACACCAGGGCUGCACGUGGAGAGAAAUGUGCAUGAGGACGGUGAGAAGGUGGCCCACGGGAGAGACCGUGAGAGGAAGUGAACCUGCUGAUACCCUCAUCUCGGUUUUCUAGCUUCCAGAAACCUGAGAGAAUAAAUAAACUUCCAGUCCGUGGUGCCCUGUUAUGAUACCCUCAGCUGACUGAUACAAGCUGCUCAGUUUGGGGGUCAUUUGUUACACAGCAAAGGACGACAAAUACAACCAUCAGCCGACACUGCACUCCCAUUCCCUCUGGGCUGGGAGCCGGGUAGAACAAGACCAAAGCCCUGGCCCAUAAGAAUGGAUCUCAGUCCACACGGAAAGACAAACACAGAAGAUGAAGUAAAAGGCUAGGGUGGGAGAAGACCCCUCAGGACGAAGACACCGCUUGGGGAGACGUGGAUGCAGGAGAGACCACGACACAUGGUCCUGCCCGCUCUGUGCUCCCCCUGGGGACACAGGCUCGGCCUUCUCAGAUACAGCAUCCUCUCCACGUUGUAGCUGAUGCGUGGACGCCGAAAGAGGUUAUGUUGGCUGAGGUCCCGAAGCUCAUCCCGGAGUCGCCAGGAUUCACGGGCAGGUCUGCAAGGGGAGAAGAGAAGAGCUCCUUGGAGGGUGUCAGCUCCUCAGGGGUCAGGCAGAGGGAGAAGCCAGGAGGGACACAGAGGCACCGUGGGAAUGAUAGGAGGAGAUUAAUAUUUCCCCAGAAUCAAAGAUAAGAGCUUUUCUCGGUUGGAAUCGUGUUCGAUGCCCAAGACAGCCGAGACCUCAGGGAUCCGAUCUGCACUGCAGGUGGGACCUACCCCACAGUGGCAACGGCAGAUCCUUCAACCGCUGUGCUGGGCUGGGCAGAGAACCUGUGUCCCGGCGCUGCAGAGACCCGGACGAUCCCAUUGCACCACAGCAGGAACGCCAACAGUACAGCUAAGUAGAUAUUUCGACUGGAUAAGUUGUGGGCACGAGCGGGUAUGAAGAUUAUAAAUUAAUACCGUAAGAGAGCUUCCACGGUCCUUGCACCAUGGUGCUCAUCGAAUCCGAAAUCUUCUUCGUCUGAAAUCUGAAAACAUGUUUCCAAUGCAGAUGAAGCUCUCCAUCCUGCAUCCUGCAGAGGCGUCCUGCGGCUCCUGCAGACAGAAGGCAGGCAGAGGACAUGGGGAGAGGGCCAUAGGGUCCUGUUCCAUUUCAAGAAGAGAGAGAGAAUCUUCAAUUAUAAUUAUUGUCUUAAUGUUAUGGAGCUUCAUUGUAAAACAAAAGCAGCAUAUCCUGUACUUUUUCAGAAAAUCAUAACUGUGUUAUCACCCGAAGUAGAACCAUUUAGUUUAUACAUAUUGAGAUGGUGUCAUUAUCAGAUGUCGUCUGGAAGCCCUAAAAUGGCUUUUAAAACCAUCUCUUUGGUUUGUAAUAAAAGUCCAGCAUGUCUGGGUAUCAUGUCCCCAUGUUACAUGGGGUUGUUGUCUUCAGAACUGGUUAUCUGCCCUGACGUGAUGGUUCUCAGAUGAAGAGGCAAUGGCAUUUCACCAGAGGAUGCAGUCUUGCCCAAAGGCUCUUUAUGUAUCAAAUAUCAACUCGAUUUGCCUAAUACAGACUUUCUUUGCAAACACGUCCACCUGGCCCUUAAUGAAGAGUUUAAUGAUUCUGACUCCAACUAGCAAAGCUGCUGCAAGACAAACAGCCCUUAUUUUCUAAAGACUGAGUCCCAAGGCUAAGCAGCCACCCUGGGACCGAACCUGGAGGGCAGAGCACAGUUUGUGACUUGAAUAAUUUCUUUUUCCUUCUGCCGUGGGCGUUAGCCACCAGUCUUCAGCUCAGACACUAGACUUGGAUGUUACAGAAUAUUGGUGAUGCUGUAAUUAUCAGAAGAGCCGGUUCCCUCCUUGUGAAGAGAGCUGAGUGGAAGACGGGGGGCACUUCCAGGGACCCCGGGCAGCCCUGAUUUAUCCGAUUCAUGGGUCGACCUCUGCUUAGCUGUAUUUGUUGUUCAUAAGUAAGCAUUUCUUUUUGUUUAUUUUUUGGCCUUUAUUUUUUUUAAUGAAAAUAUUUUUAUUAUAGGAGUUCCCAUCAUGGCCCAGUGGUUACUGAAUCCGACUAGUAUUCAUGAGGAUGUGGGUUCAACCCCUGGCCUCACUCAGUGGCUCGAGGAUCCGGUGUUGCCAUGAGCUGUGGUGUAGGUUGCAGAUGUAGCUUGGAUCCUGCGUUGCUGUGGCUGUGGUGUAGGCCGGCUGCUACAGCUGCAAUUCAACCCCUAGCCUGGGAACCUCCAUAUGCCACAGGUACUGCCCUAAAAAGACAAAAGACAAAAAAAAAUUAUUAUAGUGGAUUUGAAAUGUUCUGUCAAUUUCUGCUGCACAGCAAAGUGACCCAGUUAUACACAUAUGCGCACACACACACACACACACAUAUAUACACAUUCUCUCUUUGUCUCACGUUACCUUCUAUCACGUUCUGUCACAGUGAUUGGAUAGAGUUCCCUGGGCUGUACAGCAGGACCUCAUUGUUUAUCUAGUCUAAAUAUAAUAGUUUGCAUCUACUAACCCCAAACUCCCAGUCCAUCCCACUUCCUCCCCCUCCCCCUUGGCAACCACUAGUCUUUUCUCCACGUCCUGAAUUUGUUUCUGUUCUGUAGGUAGGUUCAUUGGUGCCAUAGUUUAGAUUCCAGAUAUAAGUGAGACCAUAUGGAAUUUGUCUUUUUCUUUCUGACUUACUUCACUUAGUAUGAGACUCUCUAGUUGCAUCCAUCUUGCUGCAAAUGGCAUUAUUUUGUUCUUUUUUAUGGCUGAGUCGUAUUCCAUUGUGCAUAUGAACCACAUAUUUUAAUCCAUUCAUCUCUUGAUCAACAUUUAGGUUGUUUCCAAGUCUUGGCUAUUGUGAAUAGUGCUGCUAUGAACAUAGGGGUGUGUGCAUCUUUUUGAAUGAAAGUUUUUCCAGGAUGUAUACCCAGGAGUGGGAUUGCUGGAUCACAUGAUAGUUCUAUAUUUAGUUUUCGGAGGUAUCUCCACACUGUUUUCCAUACUAGGUGUACCAAUUUAUAAGUAAACAUUUCAGUACCCCUUGACUGGAUGAUUUUAAAGGUUUCUCCCAGGCCUUAUGCUUUAUAAUUCUGCUCCCCUAGAUCUAGGGACUUUGCAGGACCAGUCAUUUUCUAUUCCUAGCUUCAGGCUUUGCUGAAUCUCUUCUCCAGCCAACCCCCAUCUAAGAAUCACCUAUUGGGAGGCAUUUGGAUGGAGAUAUUACAAGAAAGACAUGUUUUUGUAGCAAUUGUGUUUCCCAAUACACUAACCCAAAGCAUUAAAAAAAAAAAAUUCUUUGGACUCGGUUGAAUCCAACCCCCCCUCCCAGCUCAGGACCAUCUUCCAAGAGUUCAACAUGCUUUUUAGUCUUGCAUCUCUGCAAAUGCGGAGAAUAACUGUCUUUAAAUAGUGGCUGAUCUUCGUCUCAUUAAUUUCCUGCUCCGAAAACCGAGAUGCCUUGUAAUUAUCCAGCUGUAGGAACACAUAGGAUGGUACUAAAUUUUGUUUAAGUACAGUCUAUUUUGAAAACGGAAGCCAAAGUCUAUAAUUAGCUUGGCAUUAACGUUUGAGAGCUGUGCUAUCUGGGAGGCUGCGGUGGCCGGGACCCUGGCGGAGGGCAGGCUGUCUGGGGAAGGCAGCAGAAAGCCUUAUCUCGGAGGGCGUCCUCCGGUGUGUAGGACUCCACGUGGCCGCCUUUGCCCGAAGAAGCCAGCGCCCCUGUCUUAGGAGCAAGCGUCGGCACAGGUACAUGAAAGCGAGGGCUAAUCAGAUUGCCUUGUUCCCGAAUGACCCAGUGCGAGAAAAUAGUCCAUCUUUGCCCAUUUACCUGAAUAAACAUCCGGUGCUUCUUCCCCUAAUGAGGGCCAAGAGAACCCAGCAGACAGUCAGGGAAAAGUGCUUGCCUCGACCUGUGGUCUGGCUGUAAUUGGGAUGAAAAGUCACUGCUGAUUUCCUGACAAGCUGUUGUUUCUAUUUCCAGCCCUGAUUUUUAAAACCUCCCCAGGGUGGCUGUUGUCUGGCUCAUGCUGACACUGGGGCAAGAAGAAAGUAAACAUUUUCUGCUGACGAGUGGCUUGAAGCUUCCCGCAUAUCCUUAAGAAACAAAAUGAUAUGGUCAGUUGCUAGAGGGCGGGCCAGUAUUGCAGCUCUUUUGACCUCUACGAGGGGGACUGUCAGACUUGGUCGCAGGGAGGAAACCAAUCCUAAUUACUAUUAAUGAGAUUCAUGAUACCACGGAAUCUCCCAGCAAUGAAUUUUAAAUGUCCCUUGUCAGUUUUUCUAUCAACACGGCACAGCAGAAAACAUCUGCUCCAGGGCCCCGUGGAGUUGCAUCCUUAUUAGCUGAUACUGUUAAUCUAUUUAUCUGGGGACCUGCAUGUGGGUAGAUGAGGGAUCAAUCUUGCCUUCAAACCCACUUUCCCCCCAAAGCUAAAAGCUCGGGUGUUUGUGUGGUAUGUUUUAGAAAUCAUAUAUUAAAAAUAAUUGAAAGGGAUUACACACUGAUGGCUUUUUUUCCCUUUUCUUUUCUUCCCAUUUGGACUAAGACACAUCAUCCUCAUCAUUUCUUGUUAUCAGAUGGGGAAAGCCCUCCGCUGGUAGAUUUCAGAAGAAUCAAGCCUUUUUCGAAAUUGAUUUUUUAUUAGGGUAGAGUUGAUUUACAGUGUGGAGCCAAUGUCUGCUGCACCGCACAGUGACCCCGUCACACACGUGUAUACACACUCUUCCUCUCGUAUUAUCUUCCAUCACGUCCAUCCGAAGAGAUCAGACAGAGUUCCCUGCGCUGUUCAGCAGGACCUCCUUGCGUAUCCAUUGCCCAUGCAGUAAUUUGCUUCUACUAACCCCAAACUCCCCGUCCAUCCGACUUCUUCCCCCUCCCCCUUGGCAAGCACAAGUCUGUUCUCUAUGUCACUGAGUCUGUGUCUGUUUUGUCACUAAUUAUUAGAGAAAUGCCCAUCAAAAUCAAGUCUUUUGGGGACCAACACAAUUCCAAUUCUUUUGGAGCCUGAGUAGAACCCUCUGAGAAGUUCCUAUCUUGAAAAUCGAUGUCCAAUAAAAAUGGAACAUGAGGGAGUUCCCGUCGUGGCGCAGCGGAAAUGAACCUGACUAGGAACCAUGAGGUUGCAGGUUCGAUCCCUGGCCUCGCUCAGCGGGUUAAGGAUCCAGUGUUGCUGUGAACUGUGGUGUAGGUUGCAGAUGCAGCUCAGAUCCCUCGUUGCUAUGGCUGUGGUGUAGGCCGGCAGCUGCAACUCCAAUUCGAACUCUAGCCUGGGAACCUCCAUGUGCUGUGGGUGCGGCCUUCAAAAGACAAAACAAAACAAAACAAAAAAAUAGAACGUGAGCCACACAUGUGAUGUUAAAUUCUCAGUAGCCCCAAACUCAAAAAUAAGACAACAUAUGUGACAUCAGCUUUCAUAAUGUUAUAUUUAAGCCAAUAGUCCUAAAAUAGUUUUGUCAACCUGUAACAGACAUAAACAUCGUAAAUGACCUGUUUUACUUUCUCUUCCUGGAUUCUGCCCUUAUCACCCUUUGCCACCCGCAUCGCAAGAACUCAGCGGACGGACGUCUCUGCUGGCGCCCACGCUGGACAGCAGUGGUCCUGCGGAAGGGCUUCCGGAGAGAAACUGAAAGGCAACGAUUUGAAACAAAAACAAGACAUCGCUCACACUUAAACUUAUUGAGAGAAAAUGUUUGCUAUUGAAUUUCUUUAGAACGGAUUAUACGUCUUAAAGAUUUUGACGCUUACUUUUCUAAAAUUUGAAAGAUGUGUCAGUGCUAAAAAAUACAAACUUGCUUUUGUGUUGUUGGCCAUCCCUGCGGUACACAGGCGUUCCCACGCCUGGGAUCAAACCUGCACCACAGCAGUAAUAACAUCGGAUACUGAACCCCCUACGCCACCAGGGAACUCCAAUACAAACUUUUUAAAGGAUGUUUUUAAAAGAUGAGACUUUACUAAAUGAAUUAGGGAUGAAUUGCAUUUGUCAAAAUGGCUCCGGCUCUUUAGAAAUACCUACAUCCAGCCAAAGGUUUCAGUGGGUGUAAAACAAUUUAAAAUUUCCACGCUUAAAGACAGUUUCUCUCUACUUAUAUUGCAUGUAGAAAUUAAGCAAUUUAACACAGUAAAAUAAAGUUUUUAUAGUACUUUUAAUUAGUCAAAUAUAACUGGAAAUGUUCAUAAAAAUAUUUAAAAAUUGGAUUA
rnacentral:lncRNA from 1 species